rfam:Gossypium arboreum cultivar AKA8401 contig_68221_1, whole genome shotgun sequence.
AAUCCUUGUCCUGGACAUUUUUGAAUCAAUAUUUUAAAGCAUUCGCAAGCAUCAUAAAAAUUUUCUCCCUCCAUCUGUCUAAAGAUAGCAAUCUCUCUUCUUAGGUA